rnacentral:rRNA from 1 species
UACCAGCACCCCGAGUGGUCGGGACGAUUAUUGGGCCUAAAGCAUCCGUAGCCGGUUCUACAAGUCUUCCGUUAAAUCCACCUGCUCAACAGAUGGGCUGCGGAGGAUACUAUAGAGCUAGGAGGCGGGAGAGGCAAGCGGUACUUAGUGGGUAGGGGUAAAAUCCGUUGAUCCAUUGAAGACCACCAGUGGCGAAGGCGGCUUGCCAGAACGCACUCGACGGUGGGGGAUGAAAGCUGGGGGAGCAAACCGG